UACGUAGGGUCCGAGCGUUGUCCGGAAUUAUUGGGCGUAAAGGGCUCGUAGGCGGUCUGUUGCGUCGGGAGUGAAAACUUACAGCUUAACUGUGAGCGUGCUUUCGAUACGGGCAGACUUGAGGCAUUCAGGGGAGAACGGAAUUCCUGGUGUAGCGGUGAAAUGCGCAGAUAUCAGGAGGAACACCGGUGGCGAAGGCGGUUCUCUGGGCCGAUAUUGACGCUGAGGAGCGAAAGCGUGGGGAGCGAACAGG
rnacentral:rRNA from 1 species